CAGUCGCCGCGGUAAGACAGAGGAUGCAAGCGUUAUCCGGAAUGAUUGGGCGUAAAGCGUCUGUAGGUGGCUUUUCAAGUCCGCCGUCAAAUCCCAGGGCUCAACCCUGGACAGGCGGUGGAAACUACCAAGCUAGAGUACGGUAGGGGCAGAGGGAAUUUCCGGUGGAGCGGUGAAAUGCGUUGAGAUCGAAAAGAACACCAACGACGAAAGCACUCUGCUGGGUCGACACUGACACUGAGAGACGAAAGCUAGGGGAGCAAAUGGGAUUAGAUACCCGGGUAGUCCCUGUCUCUUAUAC
rnacentral:rRNA from 1 species